rnacentral:rRNA from 1 species
AGUCGAACGAAGCACUUAAGAUUGAUUCUUCGGAUGAAGUCUUUUGCGACUGAGUGGCGGACGGGUGAGUAACGCGUGGGUAACCUGCCUCAUACAGGGGGAUAACAGUUAGAAAUGACUGCUAAUACCGCAUAAGCGCACGGUGUCGCAUGACACAGUGUGAAAAACUCCGGUGGUAUGAGAUGGACCCGCGUCUGAUUAGCUAGUUGGCGAGGUAACGGCCCACCAAGGCGACGAUCAGUAGCCGACCUGAGAGGGUGAUCGGCCACAUUGGGACUGAGACACGGCCCAAACUCCUACGGGAGGCAGCAGUGGGGAAUAUUGCACAAUGGGGGAAACCCUGAUGCAGCGACGCCGCGUGAAGGAAGAAGUAUUUCGGUAUGUAAACUUCUAUCAGCAGGGAAGAAAAUGACGGUACCUGACUAAGAAGCCCCGGCUAACUACGUGCCAGCAGCCGCGGUAAUACGUAGGGGGCAAGCGUUAUCCGGAUUUACUGGGUGUAAAGGGAGCGUAGGCGGUCUGACAAGUCAGAAGUGAAAGCCCGGGGCUCAACUCCGGGACUGCUUUUGAAACUGCCGGACUAGAUUGCAGGAGAGGUAAGUGGAAUUCCUAGUGUAGCGGUGAAAUGCGUAGAUAUUAGGAGGAACACCAGUGGCGAAGGCGGCUUACUGGACUGUAA